rnacentral:rRNA from 1 species
AACGAACGCUGGCGGCAGGCUUAACACAUGCAAGUCGAGCGCCCCGCAAGGGGAGCGGCAGACGGGUGAGUAACGCGUGGGAAUCUACCGUGCCCUAAGGAAUAGCUCCGGGAAACUGGAAUUAAUACCUUAUACGCCCUUCGGGGGAAAGAUUUAUCGGGGUAUGAUGAGCCCGCGUUGGAUUAGCUAGUUGGUGGGGUAAGGGCCUACCAAGGCGACGAUCCAUAGCUGGUCUGAGAGGAUGAUCAGCCACAUUGGGACUGAGACACGGCCCAAACUCCUACGGGAGGCAGCAGUGGGGAAUAUUGGACAAUGGGCGCAAGCCUGAUCCAGCCAUGCCGCGUGAGUGAUGAAGGCCCUAGGGUUGUAAAGCUCUUUCACCGGUGAAGAUAAUGACGGUAACCGGAGAAGAAGCCCCGGCUAACUUCGUGCCAGCAGCCGCAGUAAUAC